rnacentral:lncRNA from 1 species
AUGCCUAGCUUUCCAAAGGCAAGCUUGUUGAUAGCAUUCUUAAUCAUUCUGUCAAUGCUUGUAGUGAGAUCAGAGGCACGUUUUUCUCUUGUGUUCUCAACCCUGCCACAUAAGACUGAUAGCCGCCUUUUCUUGCGUAAACUGGGGUUUCAUGUACCAAAAAAUGAGUCUUAUCAGAGAAGGUUUCUUCUGGGUGGAGAUAUAAAGAGAACCUCACCCGGAGGACCAGAUCCCCAACAUCAUUAG